rnacentral:rRNA from 1 species
ACUGGGACUGAGACACGGCCCAGACUCCUACGGGAGGCAGCAGUGGGGAAUUUUGGACAAUGGGCGCAAGCCUGAUCCAGCCAUGCCGCGUGUCUGAAGAAGGCCUUCGGGUUGUAAAGGACUUUUGUCAGGGAAGAAAAGGCUGUUGCUAAUAUCGACAGCUGAUGACGGUACCUGAAGAAUAAGCACCGGCUAACUACGUGCCAGCAGCCGCGGUAAUACGUAGGGUGCGAGCGUUAAUCGGAAUUACUGGGCGUAAAGCGAGCGCAGACGGUUACUUAAGCAGGAUGUGAAAUCCCCGGGCUCAACCUGGGAACUGCGUUCUGAACUGGGUGACUAGAGUGUGUCAGAGGGAGGUAGAAUUCCACGUGUAGCAGUGAAAUGCGUAGAGAUGUGGAGGAAUACCGAUGGCGAAGGCAGCCUCCUGGGAUAACACUGACGUUCAUGCUCGAAAGCGUGGGUAGCAAACAGGAUUAGAUACCCUGGUAGUCCACGCCCUAAACGAUGUCAAUUAGCUGUUGGGCAACUUGAUUGCUUAGUAGCGUAGCUAACGCGUGAAAUUGACCGCCUGGGGAGUACGGUCGCAAGAUUAAAACUCAAAGGAAUUGACGGGGACCCGCACAAGCGGUGGAGCAUGUGGUUUAAUUCGAUGCAACGCGAAGAACCUUACCUGGUCUUGACAUGUACGGAAUCCUCCAGAGACGGAGGAGUGCCUUCGGGAGCCGUAACACAGGUGCUGCAUGGCUGUCGUCAGCUCGUGUCGUGAGAUGUUGGGUUAAGUCCCGCAACGAGCGCAACCCUUGUCAUUAGUUGCCAUCAUUUAGUUGGGCACUCUAAUGAGACUGCCGGUGACAAGCCGGAGGAAGGUGGGGAUGACGUCAAGUCCUCAUGGCCCUUAUGACCAGGGCUUCACACGUCAUACAAUGGUCGGUACAGAGGGUAGCCAAGCCGCGAGGUGGAGCCAAUCUCACAAAACCGAUCGUAGUCCGGAUUGCACUCUGCAACUCGAGUGCAUGAAGUCGGAAUCGCUAGUAAUCGCAGGUCAGCAUACUGCGGUGAAUACGUUCCCGGGUCUUGUACACACCGCCCGUCACACCAUGGGAGUGGGGGAUACCAGAAGUAGGUAGGGUAACCGCAAGGAGCCCGCUUACCACGGUAUGCUUCAUGACUGGGGUGAAGUCGUAACAAGGUAGCCGUAGGGGAACCUGCGGCUG